AGAAAAGUAAAAGUCUGGAGUGUAAUCCUUCCAAUUGUCUUUUGGCUUCUCUUCUACUUCUACAAAAAGUUCAACAAGCAGAAAUUUAUUCUCUCGUAGGUCGGUGGGCAGAAGUCUAAAAUCAAGGUGUCAGCAGUGUGGAAUCCUUCUGGAGGCUUUGAGGACACUUUUCACUGGAUUCAGGACCCAUCCAGGUACUCGACUGUGGUUCAAUCUCCAGACCUAGAACAGGAAUAGAAGCAAAGGGAUUUUCAAUAUAAAUAUUAGUUGAAUGGAGAGGACACUGAAGCCAAAGGAGAAAAUUAACUAGCUCAGUCUUGCAUGACCCCUGUGAAUGGACUGAUCUUGAAACCCAGGUCUCAAGCCUGACAGUCCAGACAGGAACUAAACCGUCAGCUUGUGAAGAAAGGAAGACAUCAUACACAAUUACAUUAGUGUUUGAUUAUGUUGAAUGAAUUAGAAUUUGAAACAACGGAAAGAGAGAAAUUUUAGGUUAGUAGCUAAAUCCCCAAGGAUACUAAUUAGAGAAAGAUGUUGGAA
rnacentral:lncRNA from 1 species